GUUGUAUGGUUAAGUGACUAAGCGUACACGGUGGAUGCCUUGGCAGUCAGAGGCGAUGAAGGACGUAUUAACUUGCGAUAAGCCCAGAUUAGGUAGUAAAAACCAUUUGAGUCUGGGAUUUCCGAAUGGGGAAACCCACUAGCAUAAGCUGGUAUCGCUGCGUGAAUACAUAGCGCAGCGAGGCGAACCGGGGGAACUGAAACAUCUAAGUACCCCGAGGAAAAGAAAUCAACCGAGAUUCCGAAAGUAGCGGCGAGCGAAAUUGGACUAGCCCUUAAGCUUUUUAUGCGUCAGGUGAAACUUCUGGAAAGUUGUGCGAUACAGGGUGAUAGCCCCGUAACCGGCAACGCAUUUAAAGUGAAAUCGAGUAGGGCGGGACACGUGAUAUCCUGUCUGAAUAUGGGGGGACCAUCCUCCAAGGCUAAAUACUACUGACUGACCGAUAGUGAACCAGUACCGUGAGGGAAAGGCGAAAAGAACCCCUGUGAGGGGAGUGAAAUAGAACCUGAAACCGUGUACGUACAAGCAGUAGGAGCACCUUCGUGGUGUGACUGCGUACCUUUUGUAUAAUGGGUCAGCGACUUAUAUUCAGUGGCAAGGUUAACCAUCUAGGGGAGCCGUAGGGAAACCGAGUCUUAACUGGGCGUUCAGUCUCUGGAUAUAGACCCGAAACCAGGUGAUCUAGCCAUGGGCAGGUUGAAGGUUGAGUAACAUCAACUGGAGGACCGAACCGACUAAUGUUGAAAAAUUAGCGGAUGACUUGUGGCUAGGGGUGAAAGGCCAAUCAAACCUGGAGAUAGCUGGUUCUCCCCGAAAGCUAUUUAGGUAGCGCCUCGGACGAAUACUACUGGGGGUAGAGCACUGUUAAGGCUAGGGGGUCAUCCCGACUUACCAACCCUUUGCAAACUCCGAAUACCAGUAAGUACUAUCCGGGAGACACACGGCGGGUGCUAACGUCCGUCGUGGAGAGGGAAACAACCCAGACCGCCAGCUAAGGUCCCAAAUUACUACUAAGUGGGAAACGAUGUGGGAAGGCUCAGACAGCCAGGAUGUUGGCUUAGAAGCAGCCAUCAUUUAAAGAAAGCGUAAUAGCUCACUGGUCGAGUCGGCCUGCGCGGAAGAUGUAACGGGGCUAAGUAGUAAACCGAAGCUGCGGCAAUGCACUUUGUGCAUUGGGUAGGGGAGCGUUCUGUAAGCGGUUGAAGGUGUGUGGUAACGCAUGCUGGACGUAUCAGAAGUGCGAAUGCUGACAUGAGUAACGAUAAAGGGGGUGAAAAACCUCCUCGCCGGAAGACCAAGGGUUCCUGUCCAACGUUAAUCGGGGCAGGGUAAGUCGACCCCUAAGGCGAGGCCGAAAGGCGUAGUCGAUGGGAAACGGGUUAAUAUUCCCGUACUUCUUACAAUUGCGAUGGGGGGACGGAGAAGGCUAGGUGGGCCUGGCGACGGUUGUCCAGGUUCAAGUGCGUAGGCUGAGAAAUUAGGUAAAUCCGGUUUCUCUUAAGGCUGAGACACGACGUCGAGCUACUACUGUAGUGAAGUCAUUGAUGCCAUGCUUCCAGGAAAAGCCUCUAAGCUUCAGAUUGUAAGGAAUCGUACCCCAAACCGACACAGGUGGUCGGGUAGAGAAUACCAAGGCGCUUGAGAGAACUCGGGUGAAGGAACUAGGCAAAAUGGUACCGUAACUUCGGGAGAAGGUACGCUCUCGACGGUGAAGUCCCUUGCGGAUGGAGCUAUUGAGAGUCGCAGAUACCAGGUGGCUGCAACUGUUUAUUAAAAACACAGCACUGUGCAAAAUCGUAAGAUGACGUAUACGGUGUGACGCCUGCCCGGUGCCGGAAGGUUAAUUGAUGGGGUUAGACUUCGGUCGAAGCUCUUGAUCGAAGCCCCGGUAAACGGCGGCCGUAACUAUAACGGUCCUAAGGUAGCGAAAUUCCUUGUCGGGUAAGUUCCGACCUGCACGAAUGGCGUAAUGAUGGCCACGCUGUCUCCACCCGAGACUCAGUGAAAUUGAAAUCGCUGUGAAGAUGCAGUGUACCCGCGGCUAGACGGAAAGACCCCGUGAACCUUUACUACAGCUUGGCACUGAACAUUGACCCUACAUGUGUAGGAUAGGUGGGAGGCUUUGAAACUAGUACGCCAGUAUUAGUGGAGCCGUCCUUGAAAUACCACCCUUGUAGUGUUGAUGUUCUAACGUCGACCCCUUAUCGGGGUUGCGGACAGUGCCUGGUGGGUAGUUUGACUGGGGCGGUCUCCUCCCAAAGCGUAACGGAGGAGCACGAAGGUGGGCUAAUCACGGUUGGACAUCGUGAGGUUAGUGCAAUGGCAUAAGCCCGCUUGACUGCGAGAAUGACAAUUCGAGCAGGUGCGAAAGCAGGUCAUAGUGAUCCGGUGGUUCUGAAUGGAAGGGCCAUCGCUCAACGGAUAAAAGGUACUCCGGGGAUAACAGGCUGAUACCGCCCAAGAGUUCAUAUCGACGGCGGUGUUUGGCACCUCGAUGUCGGCUCAUCACAUCCUGGGGCUGAAGUCGGUCCCAAGGGUAUGGCUGUUCGCCAUUUAAAGUGGUACGCGAGCUGGGUUUAGAACGUCGUGAGACAGUUCGGUCCCUAUCUGCCGUGGGCGUUGGAAGAUUGAAGGGGGCUGCUCCUAGUACGAGAGGACCGGAGUGGACGAACCUCUGGUGUUCGGGUUGUGUCGCCAGACGCAUUGCCCGGUAGCUAAGUUCGGAAUCGAUAACCGCUGAAAGCAUCUAAGCGGGAAGCGAGCCCUGAGAUGAGUCUUCCCUGAUACUUUAAGUAUCCUAAAGGGUUGUUCGAGACUAGAACGUUGAUAGGCAGGGUGUGUAAGCGUUGUGAGGCGUUGAGCUAACCUGUACUAAUUGCCCGUGAGGCUUAACCAUACAACACCCAAGGGGUUU
rnacentral:rRNA from 1 species